rnacentral:rRNA from 1 species
GACGUAGGGCGCGAGCGUUGUCCGGAAUUAUUGGGCGUAAAGAGCUCGUAGGCGGUGUGUCACGUCGGCCGUGAAAACCUGCAGCUUAACUGUGGGCGUGCGGUCGAUACGGGCAUCACUGGAGUUCGGCAGGGGAGACUGGAAUUCCUGGUGUAGCGGUGAAAUGCGCAGAUAUCAGGAGGAACACCGGUGGCGAAGGCGGGUCUCUGGGCCGAUACUGACGCUGAGGAGCGAAAGCCAGGGGAGCAAACGGG